rnacentral:rRNA from 1 species
AUGAACGCUGGCGGCGUGCCUAAUACAUGCAAGUCGAGCGAACGGACGAGAAGCUUGCUUCUCUGAUGUUAGCGGCGGACGGGUGAGUAACACGUGGAUAACCUACCUAUAAGACUGGGAUAACUUCGGGAAACCGGAGCUAAUACCGGAUAAUAUUUUGAACCGCAUGGUUCAAAAGUGAAAGACGGUCUUGCUGUCACUUAUAGAUGGAUCCGCGCUGCAUUAGCUAGUUGGUAAGGUAACGGCUUACCAAGGCAACGAUGCAUAGCCGACCUGAGAGGGUGAUCGGCCACACUGGAACUGAGACGCGGUCCAGACUCCUACGGGAGGCAGCAGUAGGGAAUCUUCCGCAAUGGGCGAAAGCCUGACGGAGCAACGCCGCGUGAGUGAUGAAGGUCUUCGGAUCGUAAAACUCUGUUAUUAGGGAAGAACAUAUGUAUAAGUAACUGUGCACAUCUUGACGGUACCUAAUCAGAAAGCCACGGCUAACUACGUG